UACGUAGGGUGCAAGCGUUGUCCGGAAUUAUUGGGCGUAAAGGAGCUACGGUAGGCGGUUUGUCGCGUCGGCUGUGAAAACUCGGGGCUCAACCCGAGCCUGCAGUCGAUACGGGCAACUAGAGUGUGGUAGGGGAGACUGGAAUUCCUGGUGUAGCGGUGAAAUGCGUAGAGAAUCCGGAAGAACACCAGUGGCGAAGGCGGACCCGCUGGGCAGUGGC
rnacentral:rRNA from 1 species